rnacentral:rRNA from 1 species
UACGUAGGGGGCAAGCGUUGUCCGGAAUCAUUGGGCGUAAAGAGCGUGUAGGCGGCCAGAUAAGUCCGCUGUGAAAACUCGAGGCUCAACUUCGAGCUGUCGGUGGAAACUAUUUGGCUAGAGUCCGGAAGAGGAGAGUGGAAUUCCAGGUGUAGCGGUGAAAUGCGUAGAUAUCUGGAGGAACACCGGUGGCGAAGGCGGCGUUCUGGACUGCUACUGACACUGAGGAACGAAAGCCAGGGGAGCAAACAGG